UUCGCCUGUAUAAAUUGUGUUGAGACAACCCAAGAUUUCCUUCAUGCUGUAUAAAUCAUACUGCAGGUUCAUAAUUGGAUAAGAGCAAAUAAUAGGUGAGGUGAUGUAUGGCAAAUCAGAUCAUCCAGCACAAAGCAUAUUGUAAAGGUCCACGAAUUCAUAAAAAAAAAAUACUCCGUGAAGACCACGUCAUUAUUUAUAUCGUCUCUGUACUCCACCUUUGUUGCAAUCUCAAAUAUCCAGCCGAUAAUUACAACUGAACAUUGUCUGCCUUCUUUUAAAAAUCUAUACCAUUUUACCUGUGCAAUGUAAAGCAGUUAUCUAGGUGGUUUUCUUAAUUGCAACACCUACAUACCUAUGGCAGCUCAACAUAUUAUGAGAAAAACUUCCCGGUGUUUUUAUGCCUAUAAAUGUUACGAGGUUUUUAUUCCUUGCCCGCUAAAAAUCAUAGUCUUUGACCAUAUAUGUCACACAUCAUUCCCCCAUGUUAUUGAUACUUUGUUUGCAAUUUUAUUAUGUUCAGGGAGGAUAACGUUUUAAAACCAGGUUUUUAUCAUCGAAUCUUCUAGGAUGCUCGUGAUUAAGAAAAG
rnacentral:lncRNA from 1 species